ACUUAUGUGCACAGUGGCAGUAUCGUAGCCAAUGAGGUUUAUCCGAGGCACGAUUAUUAUUAAUUGAAAACUUUUCCAGUGUUCAAGCCGUUGGAUCUGAGACUCAAACUACACUGUUGGCCAUGUAGGAUCCAACAACCUUAACGACCACACCACCAGCUG
ensembl:snRNA U4 U4 spliceosomal RNA